AAAUAACUGGUUUUACAAUGGCCUGACUGCAGAAGGAACAGCUGAGUUGUAUCUCUCUUAAGGAGCCUUGGUCUUUGAUCUAAAACCAAGGAAAUGGGUGUGGAAGAAAUGGAAUCUCAAAAGCUCUAAGGCUACCACAGUAAAUCAUACAGUAAAGAUGCUACUGCUAACACACAAGCUGCUUCAUCUGCCAGUUCUGCAGCAGCCAGUCUCAUCCAGUUUCCCUGUGCUGUGCUGUGAUAUCACAGCAGACAUAAACAAGCUGCCAACCCUGUUUGCCACCUUGAACAGAGAUAACCUCAGUGGGACAGUGUGGUGUCCUUUGGAGCAACAGAGGUCACUGUGAGUGUGGGUAAAAACAGCUCCAGCUCCUCUGCUGCCCUGGUGUGAUUAGUCAGGUAAUUUAAAGCCACUGUGCGUGUGUGUUUGAUGUUUUAGCAGCCUCUACCAGGCUCCAACUUGUUUUUCUUGCUUAGCAAAUAGGACAUUGAAAAUGGCUUGCUUAAAGUGAUAUAAGAAAUCUGUAGCAGAGACAGGUUUCAAAGGCCAGUAGAUGAGCCCUGAGAACUCAGCAGU